rnacentral:rRNA from 1 species
UUUAGAUGGCGACCGGCGCACGGGUGAGUAACACGUAUCCAACCUGCCGAUGACUCGGGAUAGCCUUUCGAAAGAAAGAUUAAUACCCGAUGGCAUAGUUCUUCCGCAUGGUGGAACUAUUAAAGAAUUUCGGUCAUCGAUGGGGAUGCGUUCCAUUAGGUUGUUGGCGGGGUAACGGCCCACCAAGCCUUCGAUGGAUAGGGGUUCUGAGAGGAAGGUCCCCCACCAUUGGAACUGAGACACGGUCCAAACUCCUACGGGAGGCAGCAUG